rnacentral:rRNA from 1 species
CAGUCGCCGCGGUAAUACGAAGGGUGCAAGCGUUAAUCGGAAUUACUGGGCGUAAAGCGUGCGUAGGCGGUCUGUUAAGUCUGCUGUGAAAUCCCCGGGCUCAACCUGGGAACUGCAUUUGUGACUGUAUAGCUAGAGUACGGUAGGGGCAGAGAGAAUUUCAGGUGGAGCGGUGAAAUGCGUUGAGAUCUGAAAGAACACCAACGGCGAAAGCACUCUGCUGGGCCGACACUGACACUGAGAGACGAAAGCUAGGGGAGCAAAUGGGAUUAGAUACCCCCGUAGUCCCUGUCUCUUAUAC